GGGCUCUUAGCUCAGUCGGUUAGAGCGCGCCUCUGAUAAGGGCGAGGUCCGUGGUUCGAAUCCACGAGGGCCCACCA
rnacentral:tRNA from 3 species